ensembl:lncRNA
GCGGACCUUUCGGAAGUGACAGCCUCACCAGCCUAUCAGAAGCGAGUUCUGGAAGGCGGGGCGGAAGACUGGAAGAAUGGAACGGAUUGACGGGGAUUGUACAAAAUGGAAGACUUUUAUAGAAAAGAGGGUGGAACAAAGAAGUCAUGCACAACAGAAAAAUGAAAGCCUUCAGACACUAAAAGGUUAUCAAGAUUCAUGUGCAUAAGUAUGAUCAGGAAGAGCAUCAAACUUUCUCUAUUACCUGCUUCCAGAAGGACCAAAUGAGGGUUUUGCUUUGUACCUCUGAAAAUGAACAUGAGAUCUCCAUUAUGAAACCAUAAGUGAAGGAAGUUGAAAGCAGAUGUUGGAGACGGUGGGGAUGACUAGCAUUGUCCUCAAGAGCCCUGGAGUGUUCACCCUCCACCCUGUGAGCCUGUUUAUGCGGACUCUGAAAAC